rnacentral:rRNA from 1 species
CCUACGGGAGGCAGCAGUGAGGAAUAUUGGUCAAUGGACGAGAGUCUGAACCAGCCAAGUAGCGUGAAGGAUGACUUCCCUAUUGGUUGUAAACUUCUUUUAUAUGGGAAUAAAAUGUUCCACGUGUGUGAUUUUGUAUGUACCAUAUGAAUAAGGAUCGGCUAACUCCGUGCCAGCAGCCGCGGUAAUACGGAGGAUCCGAGCGUUAUCCGGAUUUAUUGGGUUUAAAGGGAGCGUAGGUGGAUUGUUAAGUCAGGUGUGAAAGUUUGCGGCUCAACCGUAAAAUUGCAGUUGAAACUGGCAGUCUUGAGUACAGUAGAGGUGGGCGGAAUUCGUGGUGUAGCGGUGAAAUGCUUAGAUAUCACGAAGAACUCCGAUUGCGAAGGCAGUUCACUGGACUGCAACUGACACUGAGGCUCGAAAGUGUGGGUAUCAAACAGGAUUAGAUACCCGUGUAGUC